CCAGGAGCUUGCUCCUUUGACGUUAGCGGCGGACGGGUGAGUAACACGUGGGUAACCUACCUAUAAGACUGGGAUAACUUCGGGAAACCGGAGCUAAUACCGGAUAACAUUUGGAACCGCAUGGUUCUAAAGUGAAAGAUGGUUUUGCUAUCACUUAUAGAUGGACCCGCGCCGUAUUAGCUAGUUGGUAAGGUAACGGCUUACCAAGGCGACGAUACGUAGCCGACCUGAGAGGGUGAUCGGCCACACUGGAACUGAGACACGGUCCAGACUCCUACGGGAGGCAGCAGUAGGGAAUCUUCCGCAAUGGGCGAAAGCCUGACGGAGCAACGCCGCGUGAGUGAUGAAGGGUUUCGGCUCGUAAAACUCUGUUAUUAGGGAAGAACAAACGUGUAAGUAACUGUGCACGUCUUGACGGUACCUAAUCAGAAAGCCACGGCUAACUACGUGCCAGCAGCCGCGGUAAUACGUAGGUGGCAAGCGUUAUCCGGAAUUAUUGGGCGUAAAGCGCGCGUAGGCGGUUUCUUAAGUCUGAUGUGAAAGCCCACGGCUCAACCGUGGAGGGUCAUUGGAAACUGGGAAACUUGAGUGCAGAAGAGGAAAGUGGAAUUCCAUGUGUAGCGGUGAAAUGCGCAGAGAUAUGGAGGAACACCAGUGGCGAAGGCGACUUUCUGGUCUGUAACUGACGCU
rnacentral:rRNA from 1 species